UCCGCUGUCAUUCCUGGCCGCUGCCUCAGGAAAAGUUUCUCCUCCGGGCAGGCUGCCUGCCCAGUCCGAAGGCUCUCGGCGGCUUCUCGGCCCGCAGCCCCGGGCAGCAGAAGCAGGAUUUUGCUGGGGGAUUAAGGCUGUGCUCACCCCGCGGCAGGAGGGGGCUCAGCCAUGGCUUCCAAGCGCCGUGCAUCCUCCUCGAAGCAGCCAGACGGCAGGGAAAAGAAAGUGAAAGAGGAAGAGGAGGACGACACCUGRAGCUCCACCUUGGCAGCCCUGAAAACUGCUCCCAAGGAGAAGCCCCCCACCACCAUUGAUGGGCUGUGCCCCCUGAGCACGGCACCGUGUGCUCGGGUCUAUGAGGACUAUGACUGCACCCUGAACCAGACCAACAUCAGYGCCAACAACAACAAGUUCUACAUCAUCCAGCUCCUGGAGCAUGAUGGUGCCUACAGCAUCUGGAACCGCUGGGGCCGAGUGGGAGAGGGCGGCCAGUCCAAGCUCACRCCCUGCUCCUCCCUGGAAGCUGCCAAGAAGGACUUUGAGAAGAAGUUUCGGGAGAAGACCAAGAAUAGCUGGGCAACGAGGGACAACUUUGUUGCCCAUCCGGGGAAGUACACGCUCAUUGAGGUGCAGCCAGGAGCCGGGCAGGAGGYGGAGGUUGCCCUCAGGGUGGAUGCCGUGGAUGGAGACAAAGCCUGCAAACAGCGGGUGCUGCCCUGCACCUUGGACAAAGCCACACAGGAGCUGGUGUCCCUCAUCUUCAGCAGUGACAUGUUCCGUGAUGCCAUGCAGACCAUGAAUAUCGAUGUGAAGAAGAUGCCUCUGGGGAAGCUGAGCAAGCAGCAGAUAGCCAGGGGCUUUGAGGCCCUGGAGGAGCUGGAGGCAGCGCUGAGGGAGCAGCCGCCCCAGGCCGCUCGCCUGGARGAACUCUCCUCACGCUUCUACACCAUCGUCCCACACAACUUUGGACGGGCACGGCCACCUCCCAUCAACUCCCCUGAYCUGCUGCGUGCCAAGAAGGACAUGCUGUUGGUGCUGGCCGACAUUGAGGUGGCACAGAGCCUGCAGGCGCAGAAAGUGAAGGAGGAGGAGGAGAAAGAAGUCAUCCAUCCGCUGGAUCAGGAUUAUGCUCUGCUCUGCUGCCAGCUCUCCCUGCUGGACCCAGCUUCCCGGGAAUACCAGCUGAUCCAAACCUAUGUGACGCAGACCGGGCAGAAACUCCGCAUCCUCAACAUCUGGCAGGUGGCCCGAGACGGUGAGGAUGAGCGUUUCAAGGCCCAUGACCUCCUGGAGCACCGGCGCCUGCUUUGGCACGGCACCAACGUGGCGGUGGUGGCGGCCAUCCUCAAGAGUGGGCUGCGCAUCAUGCCCCACUCGGGYGGGCGCGUGGGCAAGGGCAUCUACUUCGCCUCCGAGAACAGCAAAUCAGCCUGCUACGUGCGCUGUACAUCUAAGAAGGUUGGCAUCAUGUUCCUGACGGAGGUGGCCCUGGGCAAGCCCUACCACAUCACCUGCAAUGAUCCCACGCUGUGUCAGCCGCCUGCUGGCUAUGACAGYGUCGUGGCCUGUGGCCGGACAGAGCCAGAUCCUGCGCAGGAUGAGGAGGUGCUGCUGGAUGGCAAGAAGGUGCUGGUGUGCCAGGGCAAGCCCAUCCCCAUGCCCGCCUACAAGGACUCCUCCUUCAGCCAGAGCGAGUACCUCAUCUACCAGGAAAGCCAGUGCCGGAUCCGCUACCUUGUCCAGCUUCACUUCUGAGGGUGCCUGGGAGCACCACAGCCCUGGUGACACCCAUCAGCCCAGAGCACAGUAAUCUCAACACUCCGGCCACCCCACUUGGCGAGGGACAGGCUGGCGUGGCGACUGAGCUUGCUUUGGUUGUGAAUUAAAGCACCGUGCUGUGUGCCGAGCGGUGCUCUUGCUUUCCUGGCCAGCAGGGAAGGGUGAUGGUGGGUCCCUGAAGGGUGGCUCUGGAGGGGCUGCAGCCUUGAGGUGAAAGCUGGUGUCUUUGAGAGCAAGCUGCUCUUGUCACCUUAGCAAGGCACAYGGCUCAUGCCCACCCCGCGGUAUCAGAGCCAGAGGAUGAGAAAGAUCUGCUGCCCUGCCUGGGCAUGGAGGAAUUCCUCCAUCCAUCCUGAGUGUGAGUGCCUGCCCUGCCUCUAGUGCCACGCCUUGUGCCGUACCUGCUGCCCUGCCCCAGCCUGGCACCCAUGCCAAGCCCCUCUCUGUGUGCCCCUUGAGCACGUCUGGGUGCUCAGGCUGUCAGGGACGGGCAGCUCCCAGCUGUGUUACCCCGUGAGUAUCCAUGCAUCAGUGGAAUSAUUUGCUGCAGACCUGCAGCUCUGUCCCUUGAGCCCCAGGCACCUGAGGGCUGAGCUGUUCCUGUGGAAGAACCAGGACUGGUGCAGUGGUGUCCCCCUUCUCUGAGCCCCCGCCGGCUGCUAGGACCCAGCAGCUGUCCCCGUGGGACUGCCACGGGUGCAGGCAGUGCAGGCAGCGCCGGGAGUGUCAGCUGGUGCCAUCCGCAGCUGGCGGGCUGCAGGCAAACAGGAUGACGAGCGGGUGACGGGAGCGGGGACGGGGGAGCGUGGCCUCACACAGGGCCGGCAGCCCCGGUUCUGCUGCGGCAGCAACACCGGCGAGAGGGACCCUGGCGAGGAGAGGAGCAUCACCCAUCUCCCCAGGAGCAAAGGCAAGGAGGAGGUAGCGGCCAUGGUUGUAGUGGGGUUACCCUCUGUGGGACACAGAAGAAGAGCCCUUGCUGUCCAGGCU